rnacentral:lncRNA from 1 species
CAACAACAACAAAAACAACAAUAAGAACAACCACCACCAACACCACCACCACCACCACAACGACAACAACAUCGACUACGACGACGACGACAUCGACGAUGACAAUGAAGACAAUAACGACAACGACGACAACGAUGAGAACAAUCACAACUGAGGAAACAACAACAACAACGACUACAUCAACAACAAUGACAAGAUCGACAAAAAAGGUAACAACAAAAACAACAACGAUGACGACAGUGACAACAACAACGACAACGACAAGAACAACAACAACG